ACAAUAAUUAGCCUGUGCCUAUGUUAUCUCCUAACAUAUACCUAAGCUCUCCGUCUGUGCCGAUUGGGAAUUAUUGAGAUUUCUCUUUGCAUAGCUACCAGAAGACUUACAACUUUCAGACAGGUUGCUCACGUCACAACUUCGUCGUCAAACUCAUUUGGAGGCUGCGCAGUAACGCCCAGCCGUCACCAGAAAAGUGCUGCUAAUAUCCUCCACUGUUCUCCGCCCAGAGCAACGGGAUAUAUUGGUCCAUUUUAUAUAUAUCUAAGGUGAAU